rnacentral:rRNA from 1 species
UACGUAGGGUGCGAGCGUUAAUCGGAAUCACUGGGCGUAAAGGGUGCGUAGGCGGGAUCUUAAGUCAGGGGUGAAAUCCCGAGGCUCAACCUCGGAACUGCCUUUGAUACUGGGGUCCUUGAGUCCGGAAGAGGUGAGUGGAACUGCGAGUGUAGAGGUGAAAUUCGUAGAUAUUCGCAAGAACACCGGUGGCGAAGGCGGCUCACUGGUCCGGAACUGACGCUGAGGCACGAAAGCGUGGGGAGCAAACAGG